rnacentral:tRNA from 1 species
ACCGCAUUGGCGAGGCAGAUCAGCGCGGCGCCGUUGCGGGCGGCGCUGGCGCUGUUCCAGCCGGCCACUCCGGUG